GGGGGGGUAAGUGAAAGAGGGCGUCUGACGGAGAUGAGAGUAUUUAUAGGUGGAGAGAUGAGAAGGUAGAACGACAGAGAGAGGGAGAGAGAGAGAGAGAGAAUCCAGACACAAUAAGAGGAGAAGAAGACAAAGAGGAGCGAGCGAGGGAGCAUGUUGAGGAGGAAGAGGAGCGUGUCGUUCGGAGGCUUCGGAUGGAUUGAUAAGUCCACCGUCAGCGCCCUCAGAGCUCGUAAACAGGAACUUCUGACCAUCUCCAAUGUUGCUGUGGCAGACUGCCCCCCCUCUCCGCCCCGCACCGCACCCCCCAC